rnacentral:lncRNA from 10 species
UGCUGGGGUCGUCUUCCAUAGUGUGGCAGCUUUGUUCUUUUGCUCUGUGCUGUAACUCUUGCUACUGCUCACUGUUUGGGUCCACACUGCUUUUAUGAGCUGUAACACUCACCGCAAAGGUCUGCAGCUUCACUCCUGAAGCCAGUGAGACCACGAGCUCACCAGGAGGAACGAACAACUCCAGAUGCGCCACCUUAAGAGCUGUAACGCCUUAAGAGCUGUAACACCGCGAAAGUCUGCAGUUUCACUUCUGAGCCAGCGAGAUGCGAACCCACCAGAAGGAAGAAACUCCAAACACAUCCGAACAUCAGAAGGAACAAACUCCAGAUGCGCCACUGCUGGAGUGGAAUGAUGUGAUCUUGGCUCACGGGAACCUCCAUCUCCUGGGUUCAAACGAUUCUCCUGCCUCAGCCUCCCGGGUAGCUGGGAUUACAGGUACAACAAACAAGAAAAACUUUACCAAAAAGGCCAUUCAAAGAGUAUUACUCAACAUGUCAAAGAUAACUGCAUCAUUCUUUGUACUCCCUGGCCCGAAAAUGGUUCAACUUGUCUGAAAAGUGAAGAGGUCAAAUAUGUGCACACAGCCACUUUGCCAAGUGUGGGAAAGAACCAGUGUCUGGACUAGUUCCAAGCCAUCCAGACAGCUAUUUCAACUGGAACAAGUGACCUUUGGAACUGACUAGAACAUAACAGCCUGGCCAGACAGAGGGGAGGGAGUAGGCAGUUGGGAAGGACCCCAACAUGUUCUUCUGAAAGCUCAUUUGAAAUAAGAGGACAAUAAAAAGGACAGAAAUAUGAACUUAAAAAUACAUCAAACCAGUAAAAACUGUGUGACCACAAUAUGGGAUUCAAGAAAAGUUACAGUUUGUGUUUUUAGCUGUCAUUCUUUAAUAUACACGCUUAAAUACUUCUCCAACCCCGUGAGCACAGGCCCUGUCCCUUAAUUACAUAACAUUCAUGUUUGAAUCUUCAUAGCCUCUUUGACACUAAGUAACCAUUAUUUUGUUUUUCCUCUAUCAAUUGGGCCAGACUUCCUUAGUCUAUGAUUCUAUGGUGAUUGUUAGACAAACUUCAAUAAUUACUAAGAGAUUUAUUUAGCAAAUUAUUGCUACAAUAGAAGUUAAAAUAAUAGUAAAUAUUUUAUUGAAAAUGAGAUAGUGGUUAUCUUCUCCCAACAUUUAUUUGAAGGCAUGUUGUUCUUUUCUAAGAGAACAUACAAAAUUUAAGUUCACAUCAUUGGCAAGAAGCAUCUAAAUAAAUAUGCAAUCUUUUAAUGAAUGCUUAUGGACAAAGUGUUGUGCUUGGUAACAAAGAGGAAGGAUGUCAAGGCAAUCCUUCCUUCAAAAUGUUUGAAAAAUGGAGAGCAAAGCUUUUUUAAAAAUGCUUUAUUAAAAAUACAAAAAGAAAGCUGUUUCUUAGACAAUGUGUUAUUGAUUUUUAGAAAAUAUAUUAACUAUCAUAAGUUGAUUAUGUCCAAGGUACUGAGAAAAUACUAUGAGAUUUCAGAGUGCUCUUUCACAGAGAACUUUGUUAUUCCAGUGGGUACUGGAAAAUACUUUUCAGAAGACAACUUCUAUAGCUUCUAAUCAGGCCUUCUUUAAUGAAAAUACAAACCUUUAAAAGUCUUAAUGAAUAUUCCAAGGUGUCUAUAGAAUUGCUUGGAAACUAGAAGAUUUGGUUCAAUGAAUUUGGCAUGUAGAUCUGAAUGAAUGCCAAAAAUGUAGCUAAGGUAAAGGAAAUAAAUUUUUACAAAAUUUGUGUUACAUAGUCUUCGUGGUACUAUUAACUGACAAAAAACACAAUGUUAAUGAUAUAGAAAUAAGAAAUUUGGUUAUUUCAAUUUAUCAUGUAAUGUCAGAAAAAUGAGAAAUGAGCCUUUCAACUCAACUACUUCUUAAGUAUGCCAUUGGAAUUGGCAUAGUAUUGAUUAGAAGCUAAGAAGUAGAGCAGAAAAAAAUGAAUCCAGAGAAAGACAAUGCUGUCUGCUACUUAUGUAAUGUUCAUAUUUCUUAAACUGUAUUUCGAAAGCAAGAAAAUAGACCAUAAAUGAUUUUAGGAGGUGGCGUUCUUGCUAGAUUAAGAAAAUCCCACUUAGAAUUCUAGAGAAAUUAUGCUUUUAGGGAGGGAGUUUCAUUAGUGGAUUAUCACAGACCUUAACAACAAAAGAUCAAAACAUGAAAUAAAUGUACAAGAAUUAAGGUUUGUGUCAAAUUUGUGAGAUGCACUUAGAAGGGUGAGAUUUUAAAUAUUUGUCUGAAGUUAUAUAGGAAGAAGACAUUUUCUGCAUGAGACACAGGGGUCCAAGGGCAAUUCCAACUGUGACCAUCACAUUUGUAAGUUCCCUAUACAGGGUGUAGUUUAGGUGGAGUCUGAAAUUCAGUUGUCAAAAUUGACUCCAAGAUUCUUCAAGUAAUUUAACAGAGGAUGAAGCCCAAAAUCAUGAGUAAAUAUUGAAUCUGGAAGUAUAUGUGGAAACACUGGAAUAGAAAAACAUUAACAGCCAGUUUUUUCAGGGUUAUGCUAAGUAACAUAAAAACGAAUAAAAAAAUCAGUAUUUAGAAAUGCAACAUAUUAUCUAUCAGAAAUCCUACUGAAAAUACAUUCCCAUAAUAUUAUUAAAUUUUUUUAGAAAAAUCCAAAUCCAAAAUAAAAGAACAAAAAGAGACGAAGAAAAUUUUUGCCAUUGGCCUGCUCUGAUAAACUUCACACUGGAUGACUGAUACCUGACAUCAGCUAGUACGAGGUACCCAGACUUAAACAUACUUAAAUACAAGUGUUCCUGAGGAAGUUUUUGGUUCACACAGUGUUGUGAUACAUAUUCGCUUUUAUUUAUUCACUGAUAUGCUUCCCAUACUUUUACUUUAUGACAAUAAACUGACUGAAAUCAGAGAUCCUGUCAAUUUAAUGCCACCUGCUAACACAUCUGUUAGCAAACUUGCUAGAUGUUUUCUUACCCCAUAAAGUACAUGUUAUUCAUAUAAAGUGAGUAAUAAAUGAAUUUUAUUGAAUGAAUUGAUGAA